rnacentral:rRNA from 1 species
UAGCGAGAAAGAAACCAACAGGGAUUGCCCUAGUAACGGCGAGUGAAGCGGCAACAGCUCAAAUUUGAAAUCUGGCUUCGGCCCGAGUUGUAAUUUGUAGAGGAAACUUUUGGUGAGGCACCUUCUGAGUCCCUUGGAACAGGGCGCCAUAGAGGGUGAGAGCCCCGUAUAGUCGGAUGCCGAUCCAAUGUAAAGUUCCUUCGACGAGUCGAGUAGUUUGGGAAUGCUGCUCAAAAUGGGAGGUAAAUUUCUUCUAAAGCUAAAUAUAGGCCAGAGACCGAUAGCGCACAAGUAGAGUGAUCGAAAGAUGAAAAGCACUUUGAAAAGAGGGUUAAAUAGCACGUGAAAUUGUUGAAAGGGAAGCGUUUGUGACCAGACUUGCGCCGUUCCGAUCAUCCGGUGUUCUCACCGGUGCACUCGGGGCGGCUCAGGCCAGCAUCGGUUUUGGUGGGGGGAUAAAGGUCCAGGGAACGUAGCUCCUCCGGGAGUGUUAUAGCCCUGGGCGUAAUGCCCUCGCUGGGACCGAGGUUCGCGCAUCUGCAAGGAUGCUGGCGUAAUGGUCAUCAACGACCCGUCUUGAAACACGGACCAAGGAGUCAAGGUUUUGCGCGAGUGUUUGGGUGUAAAACCCGCACGCGUAAUGAAAGUGAACGUAGGUGAGAGCUUCGGCGCAUCAUCGACCGAUCCUGAUGUAUUCGGAUGGAUUUGAGUAAGAGCGUUAAGCCUUGGACCCGAAAGAUGGUGAACUAUGCUUGGAUAGGGUGAAGCCAGAGGAAACUCUGGUGGAGGCUCGCAGCGGUUCUGACGUGCAAAUCGAUCGUCAAAUCUGAGCAUGGGGGCGAAAGA